GCCGGGCACUGUGGUGUGCACCUGUAAUCCCAGCAGCUCAGGAGGCUGAGGCAGGAGGAUUGCAAGUUCAAAGUCAGCCUCAGCAACUUAGUGAGAUCCUGUCUCAA
rnacentral:sRNA from 1 species